rnacentral:misc_RNA from 1 species
GAAAUUCACUUACUAAAUAUAUGAACCCCACAUGUUUGUGUUUUGGAUUCAUGAUGGACCGGAUCUAGGCAAAAAUUUCCCAUAUGUACUGAUCCUACCACAGUGAAAGCUAACAAGAACAAAAUGUGUAUUCACAUAUUAACCAAACUGUUAUUAUUUUUCUAUCUUUAUGAGUUCCUAAGAUAAGCAAGAAUCAUAUAGGCAGAACAGGAUCCAUAUUCUUAUGCAUUGUUCUAAUUACAUUGGUAACUUGCUCAAUUUGGUCUUCACUUGAACAUGCUGAGAGAAGUACUUUUGCAGUUCUUCCAUCUGGAUAACAUCCAGCAUCAAUCAUCUCUUCAAAAAUUUCCAAGCAUUUUGUAUAUAGUUUCUUUUUGGAGUAUGCUCCUAACCUUGAAGUCCAAGUCACCACAUCUGGUUUCAAAUUUUUGGUGGAAAGAGAUUGAAAAAGGCCUUCCAUUUUCUCAAAAAAUCCUGCCCGCCCAUAUAUAUUGAUCAAGAUGUUGUAUGUGCUAAUAUCAGUCACAUAAGGUCCCUUUUCCAUUCCAGUAAAAACUUCCUCCAUCUUUUCAAAUUGACCUAAUCGGCCAUACAAGUUCAGCAUACUGUUCAGGACAAAAGUGUCUGGUUCAAGCCCAGAAUCAUGCAACUCGUUCACAAUGUUUUCACAUUUAGCCACAUUUCUAGCUUUUGAGUAGGCAGACAAAAGUAGCAUAUGUGAUUUCAUUGUUGGGGUAAUUCCUAGUCGUUUCAUCUCUUCGAAUACAGCUUGUGCAUCCUCAUAAAGGCCAGCUCUUCCAUAUGCAUCUACCAUGAUGUUGUAUGAAGCUCUAUCUGGUUCACAUCCCAUGUGUUGCAUGAGUGAAAAUAUUUCAGCAGCUCCAAAAGGAAAACCUGCACGACUGUAUGCCUCCAUAAGUGCAUUAUAAGCAUACACAUCAGGCUCAAGGCCAUCUUCUUGUAGCUGCUCAAAAAUUUCCUCAGCCUUCUCACAAAGUCCCUCCCUUGCAAAAGCAUUCAUUAGAGCAGUGUACGUGCAGAUAUUCGGCUUACACUUUUGACUUCUCAUUUCAUUAAACAAACUUAAGGCCAUGUAAGAUUGACUUGCCUUUCCAUGCAAAUUGAUCAAUAAUGUAUAAGUUUCAGUAGAUGGUUGGCAGCAAUCUCUUUUCAUUCGCUGAAAGAUCUCUAUUGCUCUUUGAGGAUUUCCGCACUUCAUUAGGCCAUCAAUAUAAGCAUUGUAUACAAUCGCACUUGGAGGCAGGCUAUACUUUCGCAUCUCAGCAAAGACAGCUUCAGCUUUAUCUUGUAGUCCAGACAUGCAAUAUGCUUUUAGAAGAAGAGCGUAAGUAUCUUCAGUAGGAACACAUCUAGCUUCAAGAAGUUCAAAAUAUGUGGAUUCUGCAUUCUUGUACAGUGAUUUUCGUCCAUAAGCAUCAAUGAGUAGAUUGUAGAUCAUAACAUCUGACUGGAAGGAGCUCCUAUACAAUAUCCAUUGACAUAACAUCAUAAUUAGAUCCCACUUCUUAUUCAAUCGAAGUUGAACAGCUACAUUAAUAAGAUCAUCCCAUAUGGCAUGACUAGAAGGAAGAGUAUCAAGAGCAGCACUAACAAUAUUGGGAUCCACUUUCUUCUGCAUGAAAUUGAGAAUUUGCUGUGCAGUGGGACUCAGCACUGGGAAGAUUCCAUCAACAAAUCCAGAUCCAUAUUUCCAUCCUUGUCCCCUCAAAGAACCACAUCGUUUCCUUGACAAUUUUUUGCGAUUAAAGCUUCGCCAUCUGCCAUGUUUAUCAAUAAAAAGAGCGUCAUGUUUGUGCUUCUCAACAGUGCCACCAGUGGAGCUCUUUGCUUGGUAUCUGAAAUCACACUUACAGCUUCUUGGUUCUAUAAAUAAAUAAUUCAGUUUGCAUGCAACAAUCAACAUGAAUGGAUAACACUUGAGAGAGUGUAGUAUGGGUAUGUGUUGAAUUUGCAGAGACAAGAGGAAUGAAAAGGGUAUUGAGAUAAUGUAGCCAAUGUCAU